rnacentral:rRNA from 1 species
GACGUAGGGCGCGAGCGUUGUCCGGAUUUAUUGGGCGUAAAGAGCUCGUAGGCGGCUUGUUGCGUCGACCGUGAAAACCCGUGGCUUAACUGCGGGCUUGCAGCUGAUACGGGCGGGCUGGAGUUCGGUAGGGGAGACUGGAAUUCCUGGUGUAGCGGUGAAAUGCGCAGAUAUCAGGAGGAACACCGGUGGCGAAGGCGGGUCUCUGGGCCGAUACUGACGCUGAGGAGCGAAAGCGUGGGGAGCGAACAGG